CCCCUAGAUGUUCUGGGCCGCACGCGCGCUACACUGAACAGUUCAACAAGUCUUAACCUUGGCCGAUAGGUCUGGGUAAUCUUUGAACGCUGUUCGUGAUUGGGAUAGACCUUUGCAAUUAUGGGUCUUCAACGAGGAAUUCCUAGUAAACGCAAGUCAUCAGCUUGCAUUGAUUACGUCCCUGCCCUUUGUACACACCGCCCGUCGCACCUACCGAUUGAAUGGUCCGGUGAGCACUCUGGCACAAUUACCGCUCUUAGCAAUAAGAUCGGAAAAUUGUAAAACUGUGCAAACCUUAACAUUUAGAGGAAGGAGAAGUCGUAACA
rnacentral:rRNA from 1 species